rnacentral:lncRNA from 1 species
GUGUUGACGGUCCUUAAGUAUCAAAUUUAACUAUCAAAUAAACAAAGAAAAGGAUCCAAAUGAAAUCAACAUCAAGACUUAGGGUUUUAUCUGACAGAAUUCCACGAGUUUUGGUGUUUGUCUAUUUCUGCAGGGGGUUAUCAGGAAAUAAGGAAGAAAGGCCCACACGUCGGGUUUACAUAGAGAUAUUAACGUGCCGCGCAAUUUUCUACCAUCUAGAAGACUCCAGAAGCCACGGGAACGAACGGGAGGCCGAUCGGGCCCAGGACCUGGGCGCCCGCCCAAGUCCUUAGGGCGCCCGCCCUGCUACAGUGGCCAAUCACGUUCAACCUCGCGGAUUAUGCUCCACCGACCUAAAGGAUCAAGAAUAACCGUUCAAUCAAUGUCGGUUUGAUCCGACGGCCCAGGUUCACUUGAGGGGACUAUAUAACCAGACCCCCUGGCCCCUGGAGGAGGAACCCCUUGAUCAUUAUUCAUUAUUCAUAGACAGAGCAAAAGCUAGGGUUUAGAGAUGAGAGCUCUCCUCUCUUCUCUAAACUAGAGUAGAUCUAGAUAGUAGCGAGAUGGAGAGCGAAGGAGGAUUAGAGGAGAGGCCGGCCUGUCGGUUCUUCCUCCGGUUGUACUUCGCCAUGAUCAAGCUCUAAUCAAGCUUGCUCAUGGGAUGACUCUGGUAAUCUACUUCUAAUUCAUUAUGCAAUUACUAAUCAUGUAUGUUCUGGUUCAUAACUCUUUUGAGUACUUCUAAUCUAUAGGACCCUAUAGGUUAGAGUUGUAGUAUAGGUGUAAGCGUGGUGCUUAGACCUAGAUUACUUGUGGAUAUCCCCUGACUAGCUGGAUCGUGUGGUAGGCCGCGUAGGUGACAGUUACGUUGGUCCCCUGUAGUCCACCUCUCGUUAGCAGGACGGGUAGGGUUUAUCGGCCUAUGGAUAAGCAUCCUUUGUGGUGUACUCUUAUCACGUGGUUCGUCCCAGACAUAGACAUACCCCUUUGAAGUAGAGAAACCAUAGUUAUUCUCUCUAUUCUGCUACCAUCGCCCAUAUACUAGAAUUGCUCUAUUCUCUAUUCCCAUAUUAUCACUCACUGUUAUCUUACCUUUAAUAUUGUUCUUAUUCGAUUCUAUCAUCUUUCCUAUUUACACCUAUCUAUCUAUCUUGGUUAAGUUAGAGCGUAGUUGGUUCUCCCGUUUCCCUGUGGAUACGAUAAAACCUUUAACCGGGUAAAAGCUUCAACGGUAUCCGUGCGCUUGUGGAUUAUCUGUGUGCGUAUAAAUACCAUAGUACACUCUAGUGCCAUGCUGGGGAUGACAACCUAGUAUUCAAGUGGUGUUAGCAAGUGUCAACAAGCAUUUUUGGCGCCGUUGCCGGGGAAACGGUUGCUGAGUUGACUACGAACUAGUUUAAUCAUUUUAUAAAAAAUAUAUAUAUAACAAAAAAAAAUAUUUUCCUUUUAUCCUUUGCCUCAUCUCUGCUAUUCUUUCUUCUUAUCUAAUCCUUGAUCUCUGGUCUAUUAUGAAUUCAAACAUGUCUAUCUAUGAAUUUCAUAGACCUAUGGGCACACAUCUCGAACCACCAAAAUCUUCAAAGCCUAUCAUAGCAUCUAGUUUUGAGAUAGACCCCGAAUACAUAGAAUUUAUUCAAAAACAACCUUUCUCAGGAGAAGUUGAGGAAAACCCAUACACACACCUAAGAGAGUUUUAUCGAGUCUGUGACCUCCUUCGCAUAGAAGGCAUGUCCGAUGAGACCCUUAAAUGGAAGCUCUUUCCGUUCUCUUUAACGGGAAAAGCUAGACAUUGGUAUAAACUCAAAGUAGGAAGUGUUCAUGGAGAUUGGAAGGAGUUAUAUAGUAGUUUUCUUUCUAAAUAUUUUCCAAUCUCCAAAGUGGUGGAACUUCGGCGUGAGAUUCUUUCUUUUAGACAACUGGAAGAAGAAUCUCUUGGCAAAUCAUGGGACCGCUUUAUUAACCUUACUCUCACUGGCCCAAAACUUUCUAUUCCAGAAGAAGUUCUUCUAAUUCACUUUUUUGAGGGCCUUAGUAAGGAAGAUAAACAAACCCUUCAUGCGGCCUCUGGAGGAUCUUUCGACCACCUAUCCGCUAGUGAAGCUUGGAAUUUGAUUGAUUUAAUGAGCGGAAAGUCUCCUAGCUUUUAUAUCCCUAAGAAAGAGAAAGAACCAGUUCCUAGAGAAGAAGAAGAAGUUUCGAUAGCCAGAUUACAACCACUUCAAUCCCAAACUUUAGCUAUCGAUCCUAAACCAUCAAUACCCCAAAAUUCUCCAAGGGAGGAAGGAAUUCCGACCUUAAAUCUUUUAGAUGCUGAUGGUUUAGACUUCUGGUUCUAUAAGAGACCUUCAAGCAGGGAUAAUUCAAAUCAUUGCAAUAAUGUUUCUCUUAGAGAAUGUCCUCAUUCCUGUUAUGAAGAAGUUGAGGAUGACAUAUCAAGUGAAGGAGAGCUAAGCCAUGUUGAAAAUUCUAACACCUCCCCUUUCCUGAUCACAAGUUCUAAAUGGCUAGAAUGUGUAGAAUGGAUGGAUAAGGAAGAAGCCUUAAUGGAUUCUGACUUUGGCUCAAUUUCAAAUGGUGAGUUCUUGACUCCCUUUGAAGAUGAGAUUCAUCCAACUACAGAAGAGGACAUAGGUGAGACCAAUCCAGGAGAAACUCCGAACAUUCAGAUUAGAGACGAAGAUAACAUUAAUGAGCAUGGAAUUUAUUUCAUAGCCACUUCGUUUACUCCAUGCUCAUAUGCAACAUCUUCCCAAUCUAUUGGUCUCUCCGACAUCACCACACUUGAGAUCUCCAACCCCCUCUUCCUUUCUAUUUAUAAAAACUUUAAAAGGGCGGUUGUCGAUGCAUAUGUCUAUAAUAAAUAUUGCAGAUCUCGUUGAGUUGAUCUAGAUAUAGGUUGGCGUCGGAGGGGAAACCGCUUCGCCAACAUAAACUGAUGGUUUCCCAAGGACAAGCUUAGUGUCUUAAAAUAAGCAUUGAUCAGAUUGUAACACGAGCUUUUAAUUAUUUGCAACAUUACCUUGUGUAUUGAGCAUAUAAGGAUAAUUGUAAAAAAGAAAUAUUCCUUCGGGUAUUCUUGUCACUAACCUUUCUAGGAUUGGAGCAAGAAGAUCGGAUGAAUGACAAGCACAAGAUAUGUCCAACCAAUCAUCAUACAACAUUGAAUUAAAUUCAUCCAAACUUGAAUUUUGCAAAAUUCAAGCUUGGGGGAGUACUUUACAUAAAAACAUCCUUUGCCAUGUUGCUAUGCUGGUUGUCCCUACCUUUGAGACAUGCUCAAUUUGUUAAAUACUAAUCACACUACUUCAUCUCCACUUGAGUAGAUCUCUAUAAAUGCUGUCAUGCUACCUUUGUCUAUUUACUAGCAAGUGUUGGUUUGUAAGUACUCGCCAUACUUCCAUUGGCAUUUAAAUUAAGCAUGGUGCUUAGGUUAAAUAGCCUUCCUUAAUCUAAUUAGACAUGGAGUCUAGUUUGGUUAUUGAACUAAAAAAAACUGCUUGAGUAGAUAUUGGUAUAUUUUGUCAGACUAACCCCUGCAGAAAAACUUUCAAUAUCAACCUGGGAAGUCCCGAGAUAAACUCACAUCAGAGACGAAGAGAGUGACACAUGAAGUUUAACAAUUUGCACAAGGACAUAGCUCAUUCAUCAUAGAGAGAUGAUCCAUGGAGGGUGCCACAAACACGACGCACAACCGCUAAGAAAGGAAAGCUUCCACAAGAUGAUACUGUACCAUCACUCUUCGAGCAAGGUAACAUCUUAAGGUACUUGACUAUCACUUUUAUAAGCUUCUCCUUGGUUCUGGCGUUCAUAUAAAUAAAAGAGACAAACGUGUAUGAUUUACAACUCUAGAUUAACCAACCCAUCUGAUUAAACAUGUUUAGUCCUUUAAUCCUUGUUCUUAGUACUACCUCCAUGAUCCCACACUCCUAAUCAUAUGAGCUAAGAUGUUACACAUUCAAUCAUUGAGAGAUAUAAAGAAAAAUACAUAUACAUAGAUAGAUUAUCUUUCCAUAAGGUUGAGCGAUCUGAUCUGACAAAUGUUAUAAGUGCUACACUCAUGAACUUAUCAUCCAUCAAUUUGUCUUGCUUACUAUGCUUAAGGUUAGAGAAGAACAAAUACACUUUUGGUUCUGUUGGUGUUUUCCACCAACAGGGCCUAUGCACUUGAUCUCUGCCUUGUCUCUAUGAGCAGGUACACUACGAGCACAAACACACUGAGCAAGAUACUGCUAACACCGCACUUCGAACUGCUGGGCAAACGAAGAACAUGGGUGACACCGUAUUAAAAGGUGCAGACGUCAAGGUCCGCACCUGAAUCAAAUGACGCACCUGAAGAAUGAACACGGUGAGAAGACUUGUCAAGAAGACUUAAAACAUUGAACCCUCGCCGAAAGGUAAGAUUGGUAGUUAUCCAUAUUUAUCCUUUCUGCAUUCCCUUUAAUUAUUUACUUUUCUUAAAUAGAUUAUUAGUUAAUCAUGCUAUCUUGAAAAGAAAAUAAAAAUGUUAAAAAAUACUAAGCCCCAUGUGAGUGUACGAGUGGCAUAAAACCCAUAAAUACCUUCACUGUGGUGGCAUAAAAAUAAAAUAAAUAUUUCUUUUCUACUUUAUAAAAUAAAAAUAUAAAAACAGGGAGUAAUAUUUAUUGAGGAAGCUCAACGUGAUGAAGGCUAGAUAUUUAUGCUAACACUUAAUUAGUUCCACAAGCUUUGUUGUCUAUUUGAGCUCCGCAGAAUUUAAGAAUAAAGAAGACUAGCAGACGGAGGACAUUCUAAUCGCUGUCAGAAUGCUGCUGACUUUCAAAUACACCUCUGCCACCUGCUAGCUACAUCAAGAAAAAUUACGUCAAAAUUCAGCUUGGGGGAGAGCACCCCAUUUAUCUCGCUAAGUAUUUCUACCUAUCUUUAUACUUAUAUUAUAUUAGAAUAUUAAAAUACAUAAACUAUGAAAAACCAAAUAAAGAUUUUGUGCUUAUAUAUAUAUCUUUUGAUUAGUGUGUUUAAUAAAUAAAUAAAGUGGCUAUGCUAAUCUGAAUCUUAAUAAUAAAACUCUAGCAUGGAUAUGAUGAAUAGUUGCUCUGCCUAAUUUGCAAAUUUAAAGUUCUCUCUCAAGUUUAGACAUAACAGUUAUAAUUUAAAGCUUGCUCUAGAUCUAAACUUGUGGGAUGAAAACUUGAUCUGAAAUCUAAGUUGUUAACGGAUAAGAUAUGGGAAGGUUGAGCUGCUGUUUAUCUGUUCCUAGAAAUGCUAGAAUUCUGGAGAAUUUUAUCUUUGAAAAAUCUUUCAAAUAUUGCAUGAUGAGUUCCUGUAUGAUGAAAGUUUAAAUUCCUACCACAGCCAUAUAUACAUGCUUGCUAGACUUUGAGCCACACAUUUAUUUACUACUUAUGAGCAUUGAGUGUGGUCAAGCUGUGUAGACCCUUAGGAGCUUGUCAUGUGGUUAAAUCAAGAUUCACUUGCACGUUCACUCAUAUAUGCUACUUCUACUCCGGAAGUACCAUCCACAUAUAUCCAUCCAUUUCUAUCUCCAGUUUCACCCAAAAUCAUUCUACUCCUAAUCCGGGAGAGAAUAGCCAAAAACAUUUUCCUAUCCCUGUUAUUCCCUGUGAAAUAAAUGCUUCAGUUAUUUUGGUUACUACCACUUGCUAUAUUCUCUCAAGAGAUGAGUGCUCUGAAAAAAAAAGAAAAGAAAAAAAAUAAUAAAUAAACGAGGAAAUAAAAAGGGGCAAGUGCCCGGAACCUCGAAAGAAAAGAAAAAGAGUGAGACGAGAGGUAAAAAUGGACAAGUGUCCGACAGUAGAAUUAGGGGUACAAGAUACCCACCUGAGAGAAAAGAAAAAGAAGAGCAUCUCAUUCUCCUCAUAAAGUUUCAAAAAGCAAGGAAGGUAUGUAUCCCCUCAUAAGAGCAAAAGUAGAAUUAGACUUUCACCAUUGUUAUCACCAUCAUCACCAUACACCAUUCAUUCGCCACACAUGCACAUCUAGAUUUGGCUUAUUGAUUUGUUUCUUUGGAUCCAUGGUUUGACUAUACAAUAAAUGUCUUGUAAGUAUGUAUACUUUAUCUCCCACCUAUGAGCUCCAGAUAUUAAAGCCUUAUUAGAGUAGGGUGAGAGAGAAGGCAAUGUCACUAUGCCUUAUACCACAAAUACCACAUAUUUUGAGAGAAGGCAUAUACCAUCACUGCCUUGGUAAGGAUCCAGAAAUACCACAAAAGAGAGAUAUGAGAGAGUCAUACAAAGGAAUCUCUGAGUUUUAUUUGAAAAUCUACAAAAACUCCAGAGCUAUAGCUGAUCAAGAAUAAGAGACAUGGCACUUGACGGGACUGUUCUAUCUUUUAACCACUCAAGACAGAAGUGACGGUUACAAGUCCCAUGGUGGAGGUAAAGUAAGUAAGUUUUAAGUCUUGACAGUUUACUCUAACUCAGAGAUGAGAUCUUAUUCAAAAGCAUGUGUACCGUCAAAUUUUAAAGAUAUUGCAGCAACUUCUGAUCCAUAGCUGAGUCUAUCCUUGCUUAGGGAUGAGCAAGAGGUAAGCUUGGGGGAGUUUGUUGACGGUCCUUAAGUAUCAAAUUUAACUAUCAAAUAAACAAAGAAAAGGAUCCAAAUGAAAUCAACAUCAAGACUUAGGGUUUUAUCUGACAGAAUUCCACGAGAUUUGGUGUUUGUCUAUUUCUGCAGGGGGUUAUCAGGAAAUAAGGAAGAAAGGCCCACACGUCGGGUUUACAUAGAGAUAUUAACGUGCCGCGCAAUUUUCUACCAUCUAGAAGACUCCAGAAGCCACGGGAACGAACGGGAGGCCGAUCGGGCCCAGGACCUGGGCGCCCGCCCAAGUCCUUAGGGCGCCCGCCCUGCUACAGUGGCCAAUCAUGUUCAACCUCGCGGAUUAUGCUCCACCGACCUAAAGGAUCAAGAAUAACCGUUCAAUCAAUGUCGGUUUGAUCCGACGGCCCAGGUUCACUUGAGGGGACUAUAUAACCAGACCCCCUGGCCCCUGGAGGAGGAACCCCUUGAUCAUUAUUCAUUAUUCAUAGACAGAGCAAAAGCUAGGGUUUAGAGAUGAGAGCUCUCCUCUCUUCUCUAAACUAGAGUAGAUCUAGAUAGUAGCGAGAUGGAGAGCGAAGGAGGAUUAGAGGAGAGGCCGGCCUGUCGGUUCUUCCUCCGGUUGUACUUCGCCAUGAUCAAGCUCUAAUCAAGCUUGCUCAUGGGAUGACUCUGGUAAU